GACGAACGCUGGCGGCGUGCCUAAUACAUGCAAGUCGAACGCUGAAGAGCGGAGCUUGCUCUUCUUGGAGGAGUCGCGAACGUGUGAGUAACGCGUGGGUAACCUGCCUUGUAGUGGGGGAUAACUAUUGGAAACGAUAGCUAAUACCGCAUAACAAUGGAUGACACGUGUCAUUUAUUUGAAUGUGGCAAUUGCUCCACUACAAGAUGGACCUGCGUUGUGUUAGCUAGUAGGUGAGGUAAUGGCUCACCUAGGCGGCGAUACGUAGCCUGCCUGAGCGGGAGGUCGGCCAAACUGGGAACGGGACAAGGCCCAGGACCCUACGGGGAGGAGCAAGAGGGGAACUUCGGACACGGGGGGAAAGCUGACCGCACAACGCCGCGUGGGUGGAGAAGGUUUUCGGGUCGGAAAGCUCUGUUGUAAGGGAAGAAAGGGUGUGAGGGUGGAAAGUUGAGACUGUGACGGUAGCUGACCAAAAAGCAACGGCUAACUACGUG
rnacentral:rRNA from 1 species